AUUUUGAGCCCAAACGCUGUGAGAAGCAAAGAAAUGAACAAGAUUUUGUCACCGCGGUUGAAUUUUCUGCAGAGGAUCCAUAUGGUAAAGCAGUGGCAUUGCUCGACUUGAAGUCUGGGUCUGUCAAGGUGAAAGAAGAAUGGUUGGUGUUGCCUGCAAUCAUUUCAGCUUUUAUACUUGCUGAUAUUUUGAAAAAUAAAGGGAAUAGGGGCUUCAUUAUUAACAGUGAAAAUUUGGAGUUGGAUGGUAAUGUUGAAGAGGUCAGUGGGUUAAAUGAAGAAACCAAACAAAAGACUACCGCAAAAAGCAAAGAGGAGGUGAAUGUGGAUGACAUAAAGAGUGGAGGCUGUGGAGGGGGGUGCGGUGGUGCAUGUGGAAACGUGGAAAGAAAAGUGGAGUUGAAUGUGGGUGGAGGCUGUGGUGGUGGUUGUGGUGGUGGAUGUGGAAACAUGGUAAAAAGUGGGAGCUGUGGGGGUGGCUGUGGUGGCUGUGGCGGCGGA
rnacentral:misc_RNA from 1 species